rnacentral:lncRNA from 1 species
UUUCUUUUCUUCUUCUCUCUAUACGUUGGUGUUCUAACCAAUAAUCACCGAUGCGAUGUUCUGUUCGAUCGAUUCAGGAACCAACUAACGGAUGCCAAAGUGCUAUACUUUGAGAGUUCGUUAAACGGAUGCCAAAGUACUAUACUUUGAGAGUUCGUUAAACGGAAGCCAAAGUACUAUACUUUGUGAUUUCGGUAAACGGAAUCCAAAGUGUUACACUAUGUGAAAUUCGUUAAGGUUCGAAUCUCGUGACUACCGUUAAGGUUUGAUUUGGGUUUUACACAAAUACGUAUUCCAUUCUGUUAAACUAUAUGUUUAACUACCAAAAAUACUCCCAACUACACACUCACAAUCAAACAAACUAUUAAAUCAUCAGAAGGUCCAGAAUAAUAAAGUGCAUGCUUAAUUAUCGGAAGAAGUAGAAUCAAGAAGCUUGUUAACUCAAUCUUGCAUGCUUAUAAAGGAUUAA